rnacentral:rRNA from 1 species
ACGAAGGGUGCAAGCGUUACUCGGAAUUACUGGGCGUAAAGCGUGCGUAGGUGGUUCGUUAAGUCUGAUGUGAAAGCCCUGGGCUCAACCUGGGAAUGGCAUUGGAUACUGGCGACCUAGAGUGCGGUAGAGGGGUGUGGAAUUCCCGGUGUAGCAGUGAAAUGCGUAGAUAUGCGGAGGAACACCGAUGGCGAAGGCAAUCCCCUGGGCCUGCACUGACGCUCAUGCACGAAAGCGUGGGGAGCAAACAGGA